UGCAAGUCGUGCGGGCCUUGUUGAAAGCUUGCUUUUAACAAGGCUAGCGGCGGACGGGUGAGUAACGCGUGGGCAACCUGCCUGUAAGACCGGGAUAACGCCGGGAAACCGGGGCUAAUACCGGAUAGUUUUUUCCUCCGCAUGGAGGAAAAAGGAAAGGCGGCUUCGGCUGCCACUUACAGAUGGGCCCGCGGCGCAUUAGCUAGUUGGUGGGGUAACGGCCCACCAAGGCAACGAUGCGUAGCCGACCCGAGAGGGUGAUCGGCCACAUUGGGACUGAGACACGGCCCAAACUCCUACGGGAGGCAGCAGUAGGGAAUCUUCCGCAAUGGACGAAAGUCUGACGGAGCAACGCCGCGUGAGUGAAGAAGGCCUUCGGGUCGUAAAACUCUGUUGCCGGGGAAGAACAAGUGCCGUUCAAACAGGGCGGCGCCUUGACGGUACCCGGCCAGAAAGCCACGGCUAACUAC
rnacentral:rRNA from 1 species